GACAGAGGGUGCAAACGUUGUUCGGAAUUACUGGGCGUAAAGCGCGUGUAGGCUGCUUCAAAAGUCGGGUGUGAAAGCCCUGGGCUCAACCUAGGAAGUGCACUCGAAACUGCGGAGCUUGAGUCCUGGAGAGGAAGGCGGAAUUCUCGGUGUAGAGGUGAAAUUCGUAGAUAUCGAGAGGAACACCGGUGGCGAAGGCGGCCUUCUGGACAGUGACUGACGCUGAGACGCGAAAGCGUGGGGAGCAAACGGG
rnacentral:rRNA from 1 species